UCCAUGGCCUGUGGUAAGCCCUCGAAAGUGACCAUUGUCGAGACUCGCGCGGGACUGUGGUGUGUGCACGCUUUCGAGCGCGCGAAAAAAAAGGCUGUAGUUUUUUCAAUUUCCAUCAAAAUCGAGUCAACCAAAAUGGAUAUUAUUCCUCAAGAGAAUUAGUUAUGAUCCCCGGAGAUCCUGCGGAGAUCUCAACGAUUCCUAGUGUGAAAAAGUAUAGAGAAUGUGAAACCGUUGGCAUCGCCUGCUCGUUUUUGCUCCAUUGGUCAAAAAUACGCAUUCUUUGAAGCAGUGUUUUGUCGACUCGGUCGGAGCCUCGUGGCCCGCCUCGUGGGAUUAGUGUAGCGGGGCGACGCAGACAACGUCAUUCAUCGAAACGACGUCGAUGAUGAGAAUUCAGAUAGCGAUUAGUAUGUAUCUUUAAAAAUUAUGUUAUUUUGUUUUAUAAGAAAAAAAUCUGUAUGAAUUAAAGAAAUUAACUUACAAAAUAUCACUUUUAACAAAGUUAUACCAUUUCUCACGAAAUAUUCCUGCCAUUUUCGGUCCACCAUUUUUAAUUUCGCAUUUUUACAUUCGUUUUCGGAAUCGGCGACCCCAAAAACAUUACUAGUAUGAAUUUC
rnacentral:lncRNA from 1 species